UAAAACUGAUAAAAUACUCCUCCAUAUACAUGUCCUCUUCAUGUGACGAUUUUCCUCCUUGAAAACCACAUCAUCGGUAACUUACUCAUUGAAGGCCAACCCCCGUAUCAUAUUUGCAAGCCUAUCCUUCUUAGCCUAGACGAAGAACCCUAAUCCCGAAACUCCAUGAGAAUCGCUAGUCCCGGUCCAAUUUGAUGCAGAUUACUGUGAAAAAACUCACAUUCAUAAAACACUAGAGUUGAUUGCGAAGGCGGGAGGUCGUACUGAACCACUCCUCAAUCAGCCCGAACGAGCCCGUGUUUGGGAUAAAUGGGAGGGAAAGAGAUAAUGUCAAGGUGGGUGUGCUGGCGAGAGGAGAAAGUUCUAAACUGAGAAAACUGCUUCCGCCUUGGAGUAGAGAAGAAUCACCACAACGCCGAGAACCUCGGCGACACCGAGUAUGUCAGCAGCCAUGGCCCGAGCCCCGCAUGGUCAUGCCUAGGCCAGGCCCAGAUGAAACUAGACCGGUAUUUUGUUGGGCUGAAUCAGACCGGUGGUUGUAGGCUUUGAUCUGCUUCCCUCGAUCCAAUUUGCCUAGGCCAGGCCCAGAUAGAAAACAAGCCCAGAAGAGCAGGAACCCUCUAGAAUCCCC
rnacentral:lncRNA from 1 species